rnacentral:rRNA from 1 species
CCUACGGGGGGCAGCAGUGGGGAAUAUUGGACAAUGGGCGAAAGCCUGAUCCAGCCAUGCCGCGUGUGUGAAGAAGGCCUUCGGGUUGUAAAGCACUUUCAGUGGGGAAGAAAGCCUUGGGGCUAAUACCCUCGAGGAAGGACAUCACCCACAGAAGAAGCACCGGCUAACUCCGUGCCAGCAGCCGCGGUAAUACGGAGGGUGCGAGCGUUAAUCGGAAUUACUGGGCGUAAAGCGCGCGUAGGCGGUCUGAUAAGCCGGUUGUGAAAGCCCCGGGCUCAACCUGGGAACGGCAUCCGGAACUGUCAGGCUAGAGUGCAGGAGAGGAAGGUAGAAUUCCCGGUGUAGCGGUGAAAUGCGCAGAGAUCGGGAGGAAUACCAGUGGCGAAGGCGGCCUUCUGGACUGACACUGACGCUGAGGUGCGAAAGCGUGGGUAGCAAACAGGAUUAGAUACCCGAGUAGUC